rnacentral:rRNA from 1 species
CACGGGGGGAGCAAGCGUUGUUCGGAAUCACUGGGCGUAAAGCGCGUGUAGGCGGCUUUGCAAGUCGGGUGUGAAAGCCCUCAGCUCAACUGAGGAAGUGCGCCCGAAACUGCAUAGCUUGAGUACCGGAGAGGAUGGUGGAAUUCCCGAAGUAGAGGUGAAAUUCGUAGAUAUCGGGAGGAACAUCAGUGGCGAAGGCGGCCUUCUGGUCCAGUACUGACACUCAAGUGCGAAAGCGUGGGGAGCAAACAGG